CCUACGGGGUGCAGCAGUGGGGAAUAUUGCACAAUGGGGGAAACCCUGAUGCAGCGACGCCGCGUGAGCGAUGAAGUAUUUCGGUAUGUAAAGCUCUAUCAGCAGGGAAGAAAAUGACGGUACCUGACUAAGAAGCCCCGGCUAACUACGUGCCAGCAGCCGCGGUAAUACGAAGGGGGCAAGCGUUAUCCGGAUUUACUGGGUGUAAAGGGAGCGUAGACGGUCCUGCAAGCCAGAUGUGAAAGCCUGGGGCUCAACCCCGGGACUGCAUUUGGAACUGUAAGGCUAGAGUGUCGGAGAGGCAGGCGGAAUUCCUAGUGUAGCGGUGAAAUGCGUAGAUAUUAGGAGGAACACCAGUGGCGAAGGCGGCCUGCUGGACGAUGACUGACGUUGAGGCUCGAAAGCGUGGGGAGCAAACAGGAUUAGAUACCCUUGUAGUC
rnacentral:rRNA from 1 species